UACAGAGGGUGCAAGCGUUAAUCGGAUUUACUGGGCGUAAAGCGCGCGUAGGUGCCCAAUUAAGUCAAAUGUGAAAUCCCCGAGCUUAACUUGGGAAUUGCAUUCGAUACUGGUUGGCUAGAGUAUGGGAGAGGAUGGUAGAAUUCCAGGUGUAGCGGUGAAAUGCGUAGAGAUCUGGAGGAAUACCGAUGGCGAAGGCAGCCAUCUGGCCUAAUACUGACACUGAGGUGCGAAAGCAUGGGGAGCAAACAGG
rnacentral:rRNA from 1 species